rnacentral:lncRNA from 1 species
GGAAAGAUGACCAAAGCAGACCCCCGGUUGCCUCUGCGAGGUAAGCAGCUCAGAGGAGGGAUUUAAAAGAGAACUCUGCAUUGUUCUCGGAGUCACUCAAGCAUAGAAAGGGUGGAAUUCCAUCUGUUCAGUUCAGUUUGGUUCAGUGAACUGGGUCACUUUUAAUGGUUCACUAAAUUCUGACUAUCUAAAAUGACAGUUAAUGUGUUUUAAAAACUCUCUAGCCGCAUGAGAAGAACACCUUAUGACUUGUUCUUCCUUGCCCUUGGGUGGAUCACCUCUGAGAACAGUUCUUCUACUGCGGUGUUCCUGAUUACAGUCAGAAUUUCGUGUUUUGAGAUUGGUUCAAGAUGGCAGAGUAGAAGAAUGCGUGCUCACCUCCUCCUGCAACAGCAUGGAAAUCGCACUAGCUGUUGAGCAACCAUCGACAGGAGGAUGCUGGAACCCACUAAAAUAGCUAAAUGACAUCCUAAGACAAGGGCGGAGCUGUGACGAGAUGGUAGGAGGGGCACAAUCAAGAAGUUUGUGCUGUGACUGAGUCCUGAGGUCAGGUAUUGGUGCAGUUACAAAGCCAGUGUCUGUGGUCAAGGUUUUCAUUCCGAGUCAUGAGAUGAGUUGAGAAGAACAACUUAUUACAUACAUAGCUCCAUAGAUAGUACAGAGAAUCUUCCUGUGUGUCUCCACUGGAGAAGCAGAACCAGAAAGGCUACUACUAAUCUCAGGUCCUACAGGGUUCAGG